rnacentral:misc_RNA from 1 species
UUCAUGAGAGUCGAUUCCGUUGUUUCUGUGUGUUGAGCUUGAGCUGCUGCAAGACGGGAUAUGGUGACGAUAAUAUUUGUGGGCCCAGAGAAAAACAUGAACCGUUUCGACUAGCGCCGUUUCAAGAAGGCAAGGACCAUACCAAACUGAAGUGUUGUGUGCUGCGUUGACCACCGAAAAAUGCUGGUCAAAUAAUAUCAAUAAUAUAAACAGCUGACACAGCGAAAAACAGAGAGAAACAGACUAUGGGGACAUUUUUAGAUAAACCGCAAACAGAUAAGUACAAUGAGCAUGGUGCUGGUAAUGGUUUGCGAUAUGGGGUCGCCAGCAUGCAGGGGUGGAGAAUUGAAAUGGAAGAUGCGCACAGAGCAAUUACUGGACUUGGAAGUGGCUUGUCAGACUGGAGUUACUUCGCCGUAUUCGAUGGUCAUGCUGGGGCUCUUGUAUCUGCACAUAGUGCUGAACAUUUGCUGGAAUCAAUCAUGCAAACCGAAGAAUUCAAGGCCGAGGAUGUAAUAGAAGGGAUUCACUCUGGCUUUUUGAGAUUGGAUGAUUGCAUGCGAAAUUUACCAGAAAUGAGCCAAGAUAAAUCUGGUUCAACGGCUGUUUGCACAUUAAUAUCACCGCGUCAGAUUUAUAUUGCAAAUUGUGGAGAUUCCAGAGCAGUCCUCUGCCAGUCUGGCAAUCCUGUCUUUUCUACCAGGGACCAUAAGCCAGUUUUGCCAGCAGAGAAGGAAAGAAUUCAAAACGCUGGUGGUAGUGUUAUGAUCCAAAGAGUGAAUGGAUCACUGGCUGUUUCUAGAGCUCUGGGAGACUACGAGUACAAAAAAGUGAAGGGUCGUGGACCCUGCGAACAACUUGUUUCACCUGAACCUGAAAUAUUUCUCAGGGAUAGAGAUGAUGCUAAUGAUGAAUUUCUCGUUUUGGCCUGUGAUGGGAUUUGGGAUGUCAUGACAAAUAAGGACCUCUGUGAUUUCAUUCGUUCCAGGCUACUCUUAACCGAUGAUUUAGAAGCAGUCACCAACCAAGUCAUAGAUACCUGCCUGUACAAGGGGAGCCGAGACAACAUGAGCAUAGUAUUGGUAACAUUACCUGGCGCACCAAAACCAAGCGCUGAGGCACAGAAGAAGGAAGCUGAGCUAGAGAAGGCCAUUGAAAGGAGGAUCAAAGAAAUAGUAGCACAGCAAGAAAGCCAAGAGGGUGUCGAUUUCCUACAUCUGCUCCAAAUUCUUAUAGACGAGGAAAUGCCCAAUCUUCCACCUGGAGGUGGUCUUCCUGCCAAGCGACCAUUCAUCGAACAGGUGUUCCGGGAAGUUUGCCCCAGCAAGGCGGACACUAUAGAAGAGGAUGAAUUGAAGAGAGUUCAAAUUAUUCGGUGUAUAUACAACUCGAUGCAUCUGCAUUCUAAACAAAGCGGAACUUAGAAUACUGAUACAGGCCGGCCUAAGAAUUGAGCAGUAUUCAGCACUUACAAGGAGUCAAAGACUAGUUAGUGCAUACAAUAUGUAUAACAGUUUAUACGUGUUGUAUGAAAUAGUCUGGAAAAUGAGAGAAGAGCAGAUAUGAGACAUCAGCAACAACAGCUUUGAUGGGUUUCCACAUAAGUCACAAUUGUAUAGAACAAUAACUAAUCAUUAGAAACACACAUUAGUCAAUACUACAUCAUGUCUACUUUGCAUUACACUUGUACAACCGACAAAACUACCAUUCUAAUAGUUUAUUAUAUAAAGCAUUUUAUUGACAAAUUAGCCAAGGGUGAGAUAAGAAUAAAAUCCAAUCAUUACCAUAUUUAUAAUUAUCUAUGUGUGACGGUUAUUAUGAUCGAAUACAUGUAUCAAAAUGUAAUUGAAGUAGAAGAGGCAGAUUGUAUACAUCAUAUUCUAAGCCUUUAUAAAAAAUACAAUAUUAGAUGUAUUAAACCAUGCUUAUAUUCGCAAUAAUGGAAUGGAAAUCUCUGUCAGUAUUCGAAGUAAAGUUGUUUCUUAUUUAUCAUCUUGAUUCACACAGCCAACUGCUUUCAUAACAUUGAUUGAGUGAGGGAGACUAAUUUCAACUAAUUUUUUAUGAGAAUCAGUAUUCUCAGUUGAUAUUUGUACCAAAGGGAUUGUCUACCAAAUGAGAUCUUUAAGUCAUAGGAGUUUGGCUCAAAUGCAAAUUACCAUACAUUUCUGUACUAUGGGUUCCAUCACACCUCAUAGUUGAUCGAAUCAGCAUUUUAAAAUCAUCUGGUGAUCUCACCUUUGGCUAGAGGUUCAAUUGUUACGCUAUAGUAAUAAUCAAUGUACUUUGAUAACAAGUAUAAGAAGCUAGAUGUUGCAUUGGAGUGUUUGUAGUCCCCUAUCGUCAAAACCUUAGAAACUCUAUCAUGCUGUCAUUCUAAUGACAAUUAUCUAGAAUUGAAAAAAUUACUCUAAUUUAGUUUGAUAGUGAAUUAAUUUAUGCAACACUCCUAUAGAUAUAAUUCGCGAUUAUUGAAUUCAAUGCAUCUGAGUACAUUGAUUGAAAUUCCUAACAUGGAAUAGGGUAUAGUGAUUAGAAAUGGGUGUAUUAAGUAUUGCCAGUUAAUAUACUUAUGGGCAAUGCAAAC